GACGAACGCUGGCGGCGUGCUUAACACAUGCAAGUCGAACGGAAAGGCCCUGCUUUUGUGGGGUGCUCGAGUGGCGAACGGGUGAGUAACACGUGAGUAACCUGCCCUUGACUUUGGGAUAACUUCAUGAAACUGGGGCUAAUACCGGAUAGGAGCUCCUGCUGCAUGGUGGGGGUUGGAAAGUUUCGGCGGUUGGGGAUGGACUCGCGGCUUAUCAGCUUGUUGGUGGGGUAGUGGCUUACCAAGGCUUUGACGGGUAGCCGGCCUGAGAGGGUGACCGGCCACAUUGGGACUGAGCUACGGCCCAGCCUCCUACGGGAGGCAGCAGUGGGGAAUAUUGCACAAUGGGCGGAAGCCUGAUGCAGCACCGCCGCGUGCGGGAUGACGGCCUUCGGGUUGUAAACCGCUUUCGCCUGUGACGAAGCGUGAGUGACGGUAAUGGGUAAAGAAGCACCGGCUAACUACGUG
rnacentral:rRNA from 1 species